rnacentral:rRNA from 1 species
CACGUAGGCACCAAGCGUUGUCCGGAUUUAUUGGGCGUAAAGAGCUCGUAGGCGGUUCAGUAAGUCAGGUGUGAAAUCUUUGGGCUUAACCCAAAGCGUGCACUUGAUACUGCUGUGACUUGAGUUCGGUAGGGGAGUGGGGAAUUCCUAGUGUAGCGGUGAAAUGCGCAGAUAUUAGGAGGAACACCAAUUGCGAAGGCAGCUCGCUGGGACGUUACUGACGCUGAGACGCGAAAGCGUGGGGAGCAAACAGG